ACAUCCUUCAACCUUUCUUAGUUUGUUAACCAAGAAAGGCUUGGACUUUGGGGGUUUUUCAUUGCUGGCCUCUGUUGAAGCCAGCUCCUCCUAAAUGAAUUAGUAGGGUCUGCUUUGCUGAUCCUUGACGUGAUAAGAUGUUUCUACGUCUUGGGUCUUGCACUUUAGACCUCGCUUCUAACCAUGUUGCGUUAUGAA
rnacentral:misc_RNA from 1 species